rnacentral:rRNA from 1 species
AGAGUUUGAUCCUGGCUCAGGACGAACGCUGGGCGGCGCGCUUACCACAUGCAAGUCGAGCGAGAACCUGGGCUUCGGCCCAGGGGACAGCGGCGAACGGGUGAGUAACACGUGGAUAACCUGCCCUCGGCGCCGGGAUAGCCCGGGGAAACCCGGAUUAAUACCGGAUGGCCCUUCCGGCUUUCGAGCCGGUCGGAAAAGGUAGCUUCGGCCUCCGGCCGAGGACGGGUCCGCGGCGGAUUAGCUAGUUGGCGGGGUAACGGCCCACCAAGGCGACGAUCCGUAGCUGGUCUGAGAGGACGAUCAGCCACACUGGGACUGAGACACGGCCCAGACUCCUACGGGAGGCAGCAGUGGGGAAUCUUGCGCAAUGGGCGAAAGCCUGACGCAGCGACGCCGCGUGAGGGAGGAAGGCCUUCGGGUUGUAAACCUCUUUCAGGAGGGACGAAGCUACUCGGGUUAAUAGCCCAGAGGGUGACGGUACCUCCAGAAGAAGCCCCGGCUAACUACGUGCCAGCAGCCGCGGUAAUACGUAGGGGGCAAGCGUUGUCCGGAUUUACUGGGCGUAAAGCGCGUGUAGGCGGCCACGCAGGUCUGUUGUGAAAACUGGAGGCUCAACCUCCAGACGUCGACAGAAACCGUGUGGCUAGAGUCCGGAAGAGGAGAGUGGAAUUCCUGGUGUAGCGGUGAAAUGCGCAGAUAUCAGGAAGAACACCAAUGGCGAAGGCAGCUCUCUGGGACGGUACUGACGCUGAGACGCGAAAGCGUGGGGAGCGAACAGGAUUAGAUACCCUGGUAGUCCACGCCGUAAACGAUGGGUGCUAGGUGUGGGAGGUGUCGACUCCUUCCGUGCCGUAGCUAACGCAUUAAGCACCCCGCCUGGGGAGUACGGCCGCAAGGCUAAAACUCAAAGGAAUUGACGG